rnacentral:tRNA from 1 species
CCCCCCUUAGUUUAGCGGUUAGAACACUCGGCUGUAGACCGAGGGAUCCCCGGUUCAAAUCUGGGAGGGGGGA